AACUAAUAUAUUUUGUUGGGGCUAUUACUAUAUUUGUACAUAUUCUUUUACUAUAUUUUCACAUAUUCUUUUAGAAGAAAAAGAAAAAGUUGCCUCGCAACUCCAAAAGAUUAGUUCAUUUACCUCCAAUUAUUUUUAUUCUCUGAAAUUCAAAUAGACGAUCUCUGUCUUUAUAACGCUCUCUCUUCUCUAUCGCCCCCUCUCUUUCUCUCUCUGCUCUGUAUUUCAAAUCGAUAAUCUCCAUAGCUUCUGUAAGUUAAGCUCAAAAUUUUAAGUUGAGAAAAUAGGACUUUGAUUGCUAUUUUAUAUGACACAAUUUAUCAUUUACUGGAAAUGAUGGAUUUCCUACAAUCCGAAAUUUUAUUUCUCAGAAUCAUGCAUAGAUUUCCUUCGCUAUUCACCAUUAGUAGCCGAGAUGUGCCAAAAUUUUGAGGUAAGAAAAUGAAAAUCCCUUAGCGAUUCAGGAUUUCUCGUCUUUAUGAUUUCGUUUGGCAUUCUGUAAUCUCCUUUUGAAUAUCAUGUGAUUUUUUGUACUUUUCCGGAUAUCGGUUGUAUUAUUAAAAAGAGAAACUUAUGUAUCUGAAUUGAAACAAUUAAUUUGAUUAUUUUGGAUCUUAUGCGGAUUGACAUUAUUGUGGAUCUUAUGGAAGAAGUUUAUGGAGACCAAGAGAAGCCACCAUUGAUAACUUAUCCAGAUUUGGCUCUAAAUCAUCUAUGGCCAUGUGGGAGUUGGACUUAUGAUGCUUCAUCAGUUUGGUGGUAUCAAUGGAAUCUGUUUCUACACCGGUAGAAUAUUUGAGUCCUCAGGGUUGGAGUUUCCAUCUUUUUCUGGCAAAAUCAAAUGAUCACUCCACCGGCUAGGGCUGGAGCUCGUUAUGAUUACCUCGUCAAUCUCCUCUUGAUCAGCGGCAGUGGUAAGAUUUUUCAAUAAGUUUCGUGGUCUGUAGUCCUGCGAUCUUGGUGUUGAAAUGUGACACUAUCACACUCCUCAGUUCUAAGUAAAUAUGUCAGUUGUUCACACAUCAAAGAAUGUCAAUUUAGUCUUGCCCUUUUCAGAGGUUAAACGCAUCAUAAUUUACUACAAAUUUCAGGUGUUGCAACUGUGACGUUUGGCAUGGGACUCGGUCCUGGUUCCUGUCUCAUUUGGCUUUUGUUAUGGAGUAUGAGCAACCAAAGGUGGAGAACUUUUUGCUAGAAUAGCACCGCUGUAGAUUUAGUGAAAGAUGAGGUUAUACACAUAUCUCUAAUUGUUUGUAUUAUUCCUAUACUUGAUAAGAAUAAGAUGUUAUACUUAUCAUCUACAUUUUUGUGUCAACAAACAGCAGGUUCGCUUCUUCUUUAAUAACUAAUAUUCUUGUUAGCUACUAUCAUGCUAUGGUAAAUUUGAAAAAUAUUGACAUUUUGUACAAUGCACAUCUUUCUAAUGAGGUUCCGUUCUCAAGUUGUUGCUUUUAUUUUCCUGUAAGAAAUUUGUCACAGGGAUUUGAAACUGGAGAACAAUUUUCUUGAUGUCCUUUACCAUGGCUAAAAAUUUGCGAUUUUGGUUAUUCCAAGGUUUGUCCUGUUUUCUAGGUGAGAAGCUUGCUUGUGUUACAUUUAUCAUGGCAUUAGUUUACUUUUUUAUAGUCUAUCAAGCAAUCUGGAUCAUUUUUGUCAUGCCUAAUUUAAUUGGCAUCUAUUUAACUUUAUUAGGCUAUAGAUGGAAUAGAGGAUACACGUGCAAAAGCUUACAUAUUAACUCGUACAAAGCGUAAGGAUGGUAGACCAUUGGAUGAGGAUUCUUUAAAUACAGUUCAUGUUUUCGUACAGAUAUCGAAUAAAGUUGGCUCUAUUAAAGAUCCUCCAGAUAUUACAUAUGAUCGCGAUACAAGCUGCCAUUGUUUCUCUAGGAAAAGAAAUAAUGGCUCAUUUCCUUGUUUUUCCAUUGUUGGAACACAUUCUUAUUGUUUUGAUAAUUCAUACUUUUGUUUACAACCAGAAGACAAGAACGUGUAUGUAUUGAGUUUGAUUGUUCUUGUUUUAAAUGAAUGACAUUUUGAGUUUGGUAA